rnacentral:rRNA from 1 species
UACGUAGGGGGCUAGCGUUGUCCGGAUUUAUUGGGCGUAAAGAGCGUGUAGGCGGCCAGGUAGGUCUGGUGUGAAAACUCGAGGCUUAACCUCGAGAUGUCAUCGGAAACCAUCUGGCUAGAGUCCGGAAGAGGAAAGUGGAAUUCCUGGUGUAGCGGUGAAAUGCGCAGAUAUCAGGAAGAACACCAAUGGCGAAAGCAGCUCUCUGGGACGGUACUGACGCUGAGACGCGAAAGCGUGGGGAGCGAACAGG